rnacentral:lncRNA from 10 species
AGGCCAGGUGAACUCCUCCAAGCAGAGCUCAGCAGCCCAAUUCUUGGCUCAGAAGAGGUGGGCUUUGGGAUUUGUCCACACUUCGUUUUCCAGGAAGGGCUCCAAAUGCUGAGAAUCUUAAUAAGCUCCUUCUGGGGAGCUUGUUCCACUGUCACCCCACCUUCCUGAGUACUCACGUAUCUAGAGCAACUGGAGCCACGUGCUUGAGAGAGGCUGUGCAACUCACCCACAGCAGCCGCGAUCUGGGCCUCCUCCUAUGUUCCCCUGUUCAGACCCCUGCUCCAUGAACUGGGCGGACCCAUGUCCACUAAAGUGCUGAGGAAGUGACAGCGUGUGAUUUCUGAGGCUAGAUCAUAAAGGGCACAGCAGUUCUCACCUCACUCUUCUGCCUGGGUUACUGCAGAGUAAGCCAGCUACCAGUAAG